rnacentral:rRNA from 1 species
GGCUCAGAUUGAACGCUGGCGGCAUGCUUUACACAUGCAAGUCGAACGGUAACAGGUCUUCAGAUGCUGACGAGUGGCGAACGGGUGAGUAAUGUAUCGGAACGUGCCCAGUAGUGGGGGAUAACUACUCGAAAGAGUGGCUAAUACCGCAUGAGACCUGAGGGUGAAAGCGGGGGAUCGCAAGACCUCGCGCUAUUGGAGCGGCCGAUAUCAGAUUAGGUAGUUGGUGGGGUAAAAAGCCUACCAAGCCGACGAUCUGUAGCUGGUCUGAGAGGACGACCAGCCACACUGGGACUGAGACACGGCCCAGACUCCUACGGGAGGCAGCAGUGGGGAAUUUUGGACAAUGGGCGCAAGCCUGAUCCAGCCAUGCCGCGUGCGGGAAGAAGGCCUUCGGGUUGUAAACCGCUUUUGUCAGGGAAGAAAUCUUCUGGGCUAAUACCUCGGGAGGAUGACGGUACCUGAAGAAUAAGCACCGGCUAACUACGUG